ACAUAGUAAUUUUCAUUUAUCUCACCCUCACGGUCUCACCCCUCUCUUUGUCUCCAUCGUUAUCUUUCUUCUCGGAAACCCUGAACCAUCUUCACUGUUACGAAGCCGCUCCACCCAUUGUGACACCAAAGAGAAACCAUUUCUUACUCUCCAAUUCAAGAGCUUCCUAUUUAGUUAGAAAAUGGGAGGUAGUGAAAUUGAAGGCGGCGGCGAAGAUGACGGGUUUUAGUUCUCCGAUUGACCGUAAGUAUCAUCCCGUGUUGGCUAACGAUCGUGAUUUACUUGAGAUGUCUUCCAUAGAUCCAGGAUCUUCUUCUUCCCCAGCGUUUCCAGAUCAACCUUAUAAUCUCAGGAUCUUACCCAUGUGUGGCGCAGAGGAAGAGAAGGUUUCAUCCGUCUCCCGCCAAUUCCCAACUGGAGUUGUUUAUGCGGUUGAAAUCUCCCAUUGAAGUGAGCGUGAUUUGGUUAAUAUGGCUAACAAACGUACCAAUGUUAUACCGAUUAUUGAAGAUGCUAGACAUCCGGCUAAGUACAGAAUGUUGGUUGGCAUGGUAGAUGUGAUAUUUUCUGAUGUUGCUCAGCCUGAUCAGAAAAUGCUUUGCCUGGUGUUGUGUUGGACAGAAAAUGCUUUGCCUGUACCCAAAUGGCAGGAUUUCAGCUGAUGAAGCUCUUAACCAUCCAUAUCUUCAAUUUUGACCGCCUAAGGGCCUAUUCUCUCUUCCUUUCUACUUUUAACAGAACAAUCUUAUAGAAUCUUUGUCGUAAACAGUGUUUGAUUUUUGAUAGUGUGUGUUUUCCACUUGAUAUGCAAAUACUCAUGUUUUUUAUGAUUUCUUUGUCUUAAACAGUGUUUGAUUUUUGAUAUGCAAAUUCUGCAAUUUAUAAGGAAUGCUAUGUCUCAAAAAAUUCAUUUAAAAAGGAAAGUAAAUGACACUUAAAGAUAAGUAAUUUGUUGUAGCUUGAAAUCUAGCAAUUUGGAUGCUACAACAGUGUUGUCAAGACAGAUCUCUGAGCUUGGUAUCUAUCCAGCUGUCGACCUGUUUGAGAAAGGUUGCAAGAUUGCAAAUGAAGGAUGUAGCUAGUCGUCUUGCUAAGAAAGGAAUUGCAUUGGCAGUGACUGAUGCAGCACUAGAUUUAAUUCUUGCCAAGAGCUAUGAUCCUGUAGAAAACUUACUAAUAUAUUAUUUGUUGAAGUUACGUGAUAAGGUAGAAGACUUGUUUAGUUAUAGUCUGCUGCAAGUUGGAUAGUAUUCGAUUUUUUUAAAUUGGGCCUAUUGUACUGAAUAAAUCAGGUUAUACUGAAAAGGGUUUCAAGAGGAAACUAGCUGUUUAAGCCCUCUUUGGAAAGGUCUUCUAUCUAUCUGAGCCUGCAGAAAUUGUUGCCCUCGUCGAAAUUCCAAGUCAUAUCCGGGUUUGGGGAAUUGAUUUUGGAAUAAGACAGAUUCAGCAGAGGUACAAAAAAGCUACUGGUUACUUGCCGUUUAUUUUCGAGGGAUCGUUGCCAGGUGCGGGAUAGUUUGGUUAUGUAGUCUUGACAGAGAAUGAAAGCUGAUCAUGAUUUGUAUUUUUGUAUCUAUCUCGUAAUCAUGGCAUGUAUUCUUACAACCUACAUCUUGACACACUCAUAAUGAAUGAUAAGAUAGAAUUGAAAAUCAACCUAGUAAGAUAUGCAGAGCAAUACAAUAUGGUUCUAAGUUUUUGAGUAAUGGUGGACCUGGUACAGCGUAGAAUGUAGACAAAACAACUAGCUUAGCACGAAAAGUUUUUAGUCUAUUUAAGGUCAGUUUUGUU